GAUGAACGCUGGCGGCGUGCCUAAUACAUGCAAGUCGAGCGAACAGAUGAGGAGCUUGCUCCUCUGACGUUAGCGGCGGACGGGUGAGUAACACGUGGAUAACCUACCUAUAAGACUGGGAUAACUUCGGGAAACCGGAGCUAAUACCGGAUAAUAUAUUGAACCGCAUGGUUCAAUAGUGAAAGACGGUUUUGCUGUCACUUAUAGAUGGAUCCGCGCCGCAUUAGCUAGUUGGUAAGGUAACGGCUUACCAAGGCAACGAUGCGUAGCCGACCUGAGAGGGUGAUCGGCCACACUGGAACUGAGACACGGUCCAGACUCCUACGGGAGGCAGCAGUAGGGAAUCUUCCGCAAUGGGCGAAAGCCUGACGGAGCAACGCCGCGUGAGUGAUGAAGGUCUUCGGAUCGUAAAACUCUGUGAUUAGGGAAGAACAAAUGUGUAAGUAACUAUGCACGUCUUGACGGUACCUAAUCAGAAAGCCACGGCUAGCUACGUG
rnacentral:rRNA from 1 species